UUCCCCUCACAGCUUCCGUUUCGGCUUUCAAUUCAUCAAUUCAUUCUACAUCCAUUAAUUACCUAAACGCGUCCAUGUGACGCUCAAGUUUGGGCAGCCGCUAUGAAUUCUCCACCAUCGUUCUCUCUCACCUACAAUAUUUCCCCUGUGCGUUCCCUCUGUCGUGGUUGUUAAUGCUGCAGAUAGCGAACUGAUCUUCAAAUCUCUGGUGAAGCUACUGUAGUUAAUUAAUUUCAUUCCUUUCGUCAGAUUUAUGGGUUGGUUCUUCUGCAAAAUGUAAAGCUCAAUAAUGGGUUGGUUCUUAUGCAAAAUGUAGAACUCAAUUGGUGCAUGUCUUCUACUUCUCCGGAUGUGACUCUUAUGGUAUGUGUUGGAAGGAGACCUCUACUGCCAUGGAUUUAACUGAUUUCAUGUUUUCAGUCAUGCUUAACAUAUGCUCUCAUGUAUAUAUUAUUUGUUCCAAGAGGAUGCCUAUAUUUUCAUAGAUAUAUUGUUCGUUGCUUUGAAUUAAAACCACAUAGCAUUUUCCUUUGAGAGAGAAGAUUGGAAAUUUGGCGUAAUAGAACACUAAUCUGUGGUGUUAGAUUCAUUUUUCUGUCUAAUACAGUGUUAGAUUCAUUCUACUUUCAAUCUGUUUGGUCAGAUUUAUCCUGUGUAGCCCAUACACUUAUUUUCGUUUCAGACUUACACACUAGGAGCUUAGGUGGAAGCUAGGUAUCAGUACAUGUACUAGCUCCAAGGAUUCAGUGGUGUUUCUUCUGGCGCUUAAUUCGGUCCAGUAUCUGCAUCGAUUAAAGGAUACUAAUGGAAAGUAGUGGUUUGAAGCUGUUUGACGAUGCAGUUAGGAAACUUUGUUAUUCCACUCCUCCAAUCCAGCCAACACAAGGAACAUAUGCACCGGUCUAGGAACUGACGAUUUUUGUGAGAUAGUUUGGACUCAACUACUGAUGUGGUGAUAAUCAACACAAUGUCCUGAAUUUUCAGAGAGUUUUGAGGUCAAUGGUUUUAAUUGUACAAAUAGAUGGAAUAUGGAGCUGCAAGUAUUGACCAGUUUAUUGUGGAGUCCCAAAGACUUUGCCACAAAGCAACAUAGUCUGCUUGUAAAGGUGACUCUACUUUGGAUUCCAUCGAAUCUCAGAGAGUUGUUGAACUCAUGAAUUCAGAGUUGUCUCCUUGCUCAAGUUGAAACCCAAGGAAUUUUGGAAACCGGGUUUGUACUUGCCUUUAUGUUUAAAAUCCGCCAUUGAUUCUGCAUAACAUGUUCUAUUUGAUUCUGCAGAACAUACUUCAAUGGAGACCGUUUGUGCAUCUAAAGAGAACCAUGUUAGCACAAAAUUCACUCAGAUCCAUUACUCAAUGUAUAAAAAUUGUAGCUUUCAGAAUCUCUCAUAUAGUACUCCCCUUCAUUUGGCACACAUGUACAACUUAAUCCAUAAAUGAGAAAGUCUUAUGUCAAUUUUAUUCAAUCCAUAAGAAGCAUGUACUCCGUGAGUUAGUGUUUGAAACUUUUAUUGAUAUAUUUU